rfam:Macaca mulatta chromosome 16, whole genome shotgun sequence.
GGCAGAAUGGUACAGUGGUUCAGCACCCAGGCUCUGCAGCCAGGUGUUGCCUGGGUUCAAAUCCCAGCUCUGCCA